rnacentral:rRNA from 1 species
AUUGAACGCUGGUGGCAGGCUUAACACAUGCAAGUCGAACGGUAACAGGAAUUAGCUUGCUAAUUUGCUGACGAGUGGCGGACGGGUGAGUAAUGCUUGGGAAUCUGGCUUAUGGAGGGGGAUAACUACGGGAAACUGUAGCUAAUACCGCGUAAAAUCUUCGGAUUAAAGGGUGGGACUUUCGAGCCACCUGCCAUAAGAUGAGCCCAAGUGGGAUUAGGUAGUUGGUUAGGUAAAGGCUGACCAAGCCGACGAUCUCUAGCUGGUCUGAGAGGAUGACAGCCCACAGGGGAACGGAGCCACGGUCAGGCCUCCCGGGGGAGGCACCGGGGGGGAAUAUUGCACAAGGGGGGGAACCCUGAUGCAGCCAGCCCGGGGGAAGGAAGAGGGCCUUGGGUUUGUAAAUUUUUUGGGGGGAGGGGAAAGGUGGAGAGUUUAAUACCUAAUCAAAUUGCCUUUAACCAAGAAAGAAGCCCGGGCUACCCCCGUC